rnacentral:rRNA from 1 species
UACGUAGGGUGCGAGCGUUGUCCGGAAUUAUUGGGCGUAAAGAGCUCGUAGGCGGCCUGUCGCGUCUGCUGUGAAAUCCCGGGGCUUAACCCCGGGCGUGCAGUGGAUACGGGCUGGCUGGAGGCAGGCAGGGGAGAAUGGAAUUCCCGGUGUAGCGGUGAAAUGCGCAGAUAUCGGGAGGAACACCGGUGGCGAAGGCGGUUCUCUGGGAUGAUGCUGACGCUGAGGCGCGAAAGCCAGGGGAGCAAACGGG